rnacentral:rRNA from 1 species
UAAGGAAUAUUGGUCAAUGGACGCAAGUCUGAACCAGCCAUGCCGCGUGAAGGAUGAAGGUCCUCUGGAUUGUAAACUUCUUUUAUCUGGGACGAAAACGGGAUUUUUAUCUCAAUUGACGGUACCAGAGGAAUAAGCACCGGCUAACUCCGUGCCAGCAGCCGCGGUAAUACGGAGGGUGCGAGCGUUAUCCGGAUUUACUGGGUUUAAAGGGUGCGUAGGUGGGCUUAUAAGUCAGUGGUGAAAUCUCCGAGCUUAACUUGGAAACUGCCGUUGAUACUAUAGGUCUUGAAUUAUCUGGAGGUAAGCGGAAUAUGUCAUGUAGCGGUCAAAUGCUUAGAUAUGACAUAGAACACCAAUUGCGAAGGCAGCUUACUACAUAUAAAUUGACGCUGAGGCACGAAAGCCUGGGGAUCAAACA